AACUCGUGUCCUUGUGCUUGCAAGGCAGGAAUCCGAACCACUGAGCUAAAUCCCCAGCCUGAAUUCAAGUGUACUUAAGAUGCUUUUCAAGUCUCCGUAAUAUUUAUGAAGAACUAUCCUGAAAUGACACUGUGUAAUUCUGGUUAGAUCUGGCUCACAGCUGAUUCAAUGGACCAAUAUUAGCAAUCAUACUUGAUAUAAAAGGAUCUGGAACAACAAUAAAGCCCUGAAGGCCCUAAUACAAAGCUGUCAGAUCAUCGUCCUGAAGCGCUGCACGCCGUGGAAAACACCCCGGUGGUUCUGGGAGUCGCUAAGUUCUCACCAGAAUUCCGGGGCCAGGUGUUCUGUCCUCUGUCACCAGUCUGACUUAUGAAGAGUUUGCACCUGGGGAUAUCAGGUGGACACCGAGCUGCUGUCUCCUAAUGAGAGGCGAUUUCAUUAAAAACCUUAGUGAA